rnacentral:rRNA from 1 species
AGCAGCCGCGGUAAUUCCAGCUCCAAUAGCGUAUAUUAAAGUUGUUGCAGUUAAAAGCUCGUAGUUGAAUUUCGGGAUCAAUAUAUUGGUCAUGCUUAGGUAUGUACUGGUAUUAUUGAUUUCUCCCUUCUGAAGAACCAUGAUGUCAUUAAUUUGAUGUCGUGGGGAAUCAGGACUGUUUGAAAAAUUGAGUGUUUAAAGCAGGCUUUCGCUUGAAUACAUUAGCAUGGAAUAAUGAAAUAGGACGUUUGAUUCUAUUUUGUUGGUUUCUAGGAUCGACAUAAUGAUUAAUAGGGAUAGUUGGGGGCAUUAGUAUUCAAUUGUCAGAGGUGAAAUUCUUGGAUUUAUUGAAGACUAACUACUGCGAAAGCAUUUGCCAAGGAUGUUUUCAUUAAUCAAGAA